rnacentral:rRNA from 1 species
CAAGUCGAGCGGUAACAGGUGUAGCAAUACAUGCUGACGAGCGGCGAACGGGUGAGUAAUGUUUCGGAAUCUGCCCAAUGGUGGGGAAUAACCAGCCGAAAGGUUGGCUAAUACCGCAUAAGUCCUACGGGAGAAAGCGGGGGAUCGCAAGACCUCGCGCCGAUGGAUGAGCCGAAACCGGAUUAGCUAGUUGGUAGGGUAACGGCCUACCAAGGCGACGAUCCGUAGCUGGUCUGAGAGGACGACCAGCCACACUGGGACUGAGACACGGCCCAGACUCCUACGGGAGACAGCAGUGGGGAAUAUUGGACAAUGGGGGAAACCCUGAUCCAGCGACGCCGCGUGUGUGAAGAAGGCCUGCGGGUUGUAAAGCACUUUUAGUGGGGAUGAAAAGCUCAGGGCUAAUACCGCUGAGUCUUGACCUAACCCAAAGAAAAAGCACCGGCUAACUCUGUGCCAGCAGCCGCGGUAAUACAGAGGGUGCAAGCGUUAAUCGGAAUUACUAGGCGUAAAGCGUGCGUANACGGUUAUGUAAGUCGGGUGUGAAAGCCCCGGGCUC